GGUGGUCAGGUAGAGAAUACCAAGGCGCUUGAGAGAACUCGGGUGAAGGAACUAGGCAAAAUGGUGCCGUAACUUCGGGAGAAGGCACGCUGAUAUGUAGGUGAAGUCCCUCGCGGAUGGAGCUGAAAUCAGUCGAAGAUACCAGCUGGCUGCAACUGUUUAUUAAAAACACAGCACUGUGCAAACACGAAAGUGGACGUAUACGGUGUGACGCCUGCCCGGUGCCGGAAGGUUAAUUGAUGGGGUUAGCGGUAACGCGAAGCUCUUGAUCGAAGCCCCGGUAAACGGCGGCCGUAACUAUAACGGUCCUAAGGUAGCGAAAUUCCUUGUCGGGUAAGUUCCGACCUGCACGAAUGGCGUAAUGAUGGCCAGGCUGUCUCCACCCGAGACUCAGUGAAAUUGAACUCGCUGUGAAGAUGCAGUGUACCCGCGGCAAGACGGAAAGACCCCGUGAACCUUUACUAUAGCUUGACACUGAACAUUGAGCCUUGAUGUGUAGGAUAGGUGGGAGGCUUUGAAGUGUGGACGCCAGUCUGCAUGGAGCCGGCCUUGAAAUACCACCCUUUAAUGUUUGAUGUUCUAACGUUGGCCCCUUACCGGGGUUGCGGACAGUGUCUGGUGGGUAGUUUGACUGGGGCGGUCUCCUCCUAAAGAGUAACGGAGGAGCACGAAGGUUGGCUAAUCCUGGUCGGACAUCAGGAGGUUAGUGCAAUGGCAUAAGCCAGCUUGACUGCGAGCGUGACGGCGCGAGCAGGUGCGAAAGCAGGUCAUAGUGAUCCGGUGGUUCUGAAUGGAAGGGCCAUCGCUCAACGGAUAAAAGGUACUCCGGGGAUAACAGGCUGAUACCGCCCAAGAGUUCAUAUCGACGGCGGUGUUUGGCACCUCGAUGUCGGCUCAUCACAUCCUGGGGCUGAAGUAGGUCCCAAGGGUAUGGCUGUUCGCCAUUUAAAGUGGUACGCGAGCUGGGUUUAGAACGUCGUGAGACAGUUCGGUCCCUAUCUGCCGUGGGCGCUGGAGAACUGAGGGGGGCUGCUCCUAGUACGAGAGGACCGGAGUGGACGCAUCACUGGUGUUCGGGUUGUCAUGCCAAUGGCACUGCCCGGUAGCUAAAUGCGGAAGAGAUAAGUGCUGAAAGCAUCUAAGCACGAAACUUGCCCCGAGAUGAGUUCUCCCUGACUCUUUAAGGGUCCUGAAGGAACGUUGAAGACGACGACGUUGAUAGGCCGGGUGUGUAAGCGCAGCGAUGCGUUGAGCUAACCGGUACUAAUGAACCGUGAGGCUUAACCUUACAACGCCGAAG
rnacentral:rRNA from 1 species